GAAUACUGUUAUAUACUUAAGUUGAUAAAUAUUUUCUUAUAUCAUUAAAAAAAAUCUUCUAAAUGCCAUUUUUUAUGUUGGUAAAGUGUUGCCGUCUGUGGGUGUCCUUUCUGCAUUUUAACACGUCCCCGCUUUUAGAUAUUUGAAUUGUUUUAAAUUUUUUCCCAGGUAUGAGGCAGAAUGUGAUAAAUAUCUUCACUAGAGGCCCGAUGCAUGAAAUUUGUGCAAGGAACUCAGCCCUGGCAGCCGCAGCAGCUUGCCUAGGCCCUCGCAGCCCCGGCUUCGUCCGGAAGGUCGUUCGGCUGUCCAGUCUAAUUAGCAUAUUAUGCUUUUAUUGUUAUAGAUAAGUCUUUGUUAAUACCUCUUAUUAUUUCCUUAGGAGGGAAAAUUUAGCAGUGGUUCUGUUAGAAUCAAGAGUAUGGGCCCUAUUGAGCUUUUGACAUAUUCCUUUGCAGAAUGGUUAUACCAGCUCUAUAGCCAUGAGCGAUGUAUUGGGCAUAUCUCUCUCAUUAUAUUCUGACCAUUAUGGUCAAGGAUAUUUUGCCAUUUGUAUGGGGGAAAUGGGGAUUUCAUGUUGAUUUCACGUGCAUUUUUAAUAUGCCUAUUGCAAUUUGUAUUUCACACGUGUCUGUAUCCUGGCUCCUGUUUGCCACAGUUGGGUCGUUACCCAUACUCUUUCGUGGUGAAAAUUUUUAUCCCUUAAUUUUUAAUCCAUUUGCAAUGGCGUGAAACUUUCUACAUGAUCCCAUACAGGCUUUGGCCUCUGCCCCCAAGACCAAACCAGGACCUGUUUGGAAAUCGCAAAUGAGAAAUGCUCAGACUCCAAGGGCAAAGAUGUCAAGAAUCGGCUGGUCCGUCCUACCCAAAGUCACCUACUAGUUCAGUGCAAUCCUGACCCAAGUGCCAAUGACAUUUGCCACAGAAAUAAGAGUACAAUCUAAAAUUUGCAUAGAACCACGAAUUAACCCGAAUAAAGCAAUCUUGAGGG